GGACCCAAAACAAAGUUUAGAAAAUAACAUAUGAACAUACUAACCCCACUGUAAAAACAGUUAUACCAACUAGCUUAUUUUCUUUAUUUCUGAAAUCAAUGCAUGUAUAUAAUUAUACAUUUGAAAACAGUUUAAAACUAUCACCUAGGUGUACCCUUAUUUCCGUCAAUUCCUUAUAUCCGUCAAUUCCUUGCAUCACCAUGGGUGAC
rnacentral:lncRNA from 1 species